UCCUAGCCCUGAUAGAAGCGAUAUCCUUUUGUGGCGGGUUCGGCAUAAAAGAUACAGCGUAUAGCAGGAAACGGC
rnacentral:sRNA from 1 species